rnacentral:rRNA from 1 species
AGAAGAAGCACCGGCUAACUACGUGCCAGCAGCCGCGGUGAUACGUAGGGUGCGAGCGUUGUCCGGAAUUACUGGGCGUAAAGAGCUCGUAGGUGGUUUGUCGCGUCGUCUGUGAAAUCCCGGGGCUUAACCUCGGGCGUGCAGGCGAUACGGGCAUAACUUGAGUGCUGUAGGGGAGACUGGAAUUCCUGGUGUAGCGGUGGAAUGCGCAGAUAUCAGGAGGAACACCAGUGGCGAAGGCGGUUCUCUGGGCCUUUCCUGACGCUGAGGAGCGAAAGCGUGGGGAGCGAACAGGCUUAGAUACCCUGGUAGUCCACGCUGUAAACGGUGGGUACUAGGUGUGGGGUCCAUUCCACGGGUUCCGUGCCGUAGCUAACGCUUUAAGUACCCCGCCUGGGGAG